rnacentral:tRNA from 2 species
UGGGGUAUAGCCAAGUCGGUAAGGCACUAGACUUUGACUCUAGCAUUUCGCAGGUUCGAGUCCUGCUACCCCAGCCA